rnacentral:rRNA from 1 species
UAAUGAUGGCCAGGCUGUCUCCACCCGAGACUCAGUGAAAUUGAACUCGCUGUGAAGAUGCAGUGUACCCGCGGCAAGACGGAAAGACCCCGUGAACCUUUACUAUAGCUUGACACUGAACAUUGAGCCUUGAUGUGUAGGAUAGGUGGGAGGCUUUGAAGUGUGGACGCCAGUCUGCAUGGAGCCGACCUUGAAAUACCACCCUUUAAUGUUUGAUGUUCUAACGUUGGCCCGUAAUCCGGGUUGCGGACAGUGUCUGGUGGGUAGUUUGACUGGGGCGGUCUCCUCCUAAAGAGUAACGGAGGAGCACGAAGGUUGGCUAAUCCUGGUCGGACAUCAGGAGGUUAGUGCAAUGGCAUAAGCCAGCUUGACUGCGAGCGUGACGGCGCGAGCAGGUGCGAAAGCAGGUCAUAGUGAUCCGGUGGUUCUGAAUGGAAGGGCCAUCGCUCAACGGAUAAAAGGUACUCCGGGGAUAACAGGCUGAUACCGCCCAAGAGUUCAUAUCGACGGCGGUGUUUGGCACCUCGAUGUCGGCUCAUCACAUCCUGGGGCUGAAGUAGGUCCCAAGGGUAUGGCUGUUCGCCAUUUAAAGUGGUACGCGAGCUGGGUUUAGAACGUCGUGAGACAGUUCGGUCCCUAUCUGCCGUGGGCGCUGGAGAACUGAGGGGGGCUGCUCCUAGUACGAGAGGACCGGAGUGGACGCAUCACUGGUGUUCGGGUUGUCAUGCCAAUGGCACUGCCCGGUAGCUAAAUGCGGAAGAGAUAAGUGCUGAAAGCAUCUAAGCACGAAACUUGCCCCGAGAUGAGUUCUCCCUGACUCCUUGAGGGUCCUGAAGGAACGUUGAAGACGACGACGUUGAUAGGCCGGGUGUGUAAGCGCAGCGAUGCGUUGAGCUAACCGGUACUAAUGAACCGUGAGGCUUAACCUUACAACGCCGAAG